rnacentral:misc_RNA from 1 species
AAAACUAAAUGGUGAUAAAAAUAAAACAAAAAUAAGCAAAUAAAGUGGUAAAUUUUAAAAUAGUGAAAAUUGGCUACCCGUUAGGAGAUUAUUAAAAUUCUACCACAACACUAGUUAAUUCAAUCAAACAAAGAGAGAAAAAAUUUGAACUUGGGUUUUGGCCCACCUGUCCUAUGUUAAACUAUUUAAAGUUGGGCCCUUUUCAACAAUCCAAAUCCUGCAAAAACAAAUUGGCCUUUGGGCCUGUCAAAAUCUUUGCUGAAAAGGGCCCUAGCCCAUUUCCUGUAAGAAAUCAGAAAUAGUAUACACUAAAUGUAUA